rnacentral:rRNA from 1 species
AGUCACUGACAUUAGAUACCCGGGUAGUCCAGGGUGUAAACGCUGCAGACUUGGUGUUCGGAAGCCCUUUGGGGCAUUCAGUGCCGGAGAGAAGUUGUUAAGUCUGCUACUUGGGGAGUACGUCCGCAAGGAUGAAACUUAAAGGAAUUGGCGGGGAGCACCGCAACGGGAGGAGCGUGCGGUUUAAUUGGAUUCAACACCGUAAACUCACCAGGGAAGACUGUUACAUGAAGGCCGAGAUGAAGACUCUGCUAGAUUUUCAG